rnacentral:lncRNA from 1 species
UGUGUGUCUCGUGUGUGUGUGUGUGUGUGUGUGUGUCUGAAACCAGUGUUUCUCAGCUUGAUCAUCAGGGUUGCUAAAAAAUAUUUGGAUUCUAUUUAUGUUUAAUGAACAAAAAAAUUAGUUUCAAUGAAAACUUUAUUUGAAAUGAUGAAUUCAAGCUGUUACCAGCCUCCCAAGUAAGAUGCCAGAGACUUCAAACACUGCUGUUGUUUCUCAAGGAAAAGAUCCAGUUAACAAGGAAUCAUUCUCUCUUCUUCAAUAGCUGCUUACGAAAUAAAAACAUCAGUAGGAGGGGAAGGAGGAAGGAAGGAGAAGAAAGAGGAAGAAUAGGAGGAGAAGAGGAAGAGAGGAAGAAGUCGUGAACAGCCCUCCUGCAUUUUGCAUCAGGUAGAAAAGUCAGUUGAAUGUUGGGAAGAACACAAAUACUCACACAUUCCUCCCCAUUCUCUGAAUUCCCACAAAGACUGUUAUUGCUGGGGCUCAUAAAAUUAUACCCCAAAGUAUGAUGCUUUGGCAUCCAGAGUGCUUUGAACUAUAGGAGAUUGAAGGCCCCAGAAGCCAAGUUUCCCUCUGACCUUCUCCUGCCUUCCUGUCUUCCACCCCCUGCUUUUCCCCUGAAGUGAGUCCUGGAAGCCAGAAUUCUUCUUGCCCAAAGCAAGCCGUGACACCCUGGAAAUAUCACUCUAACCUUCCUUGCCUUUCCGUGUGGCAGCUGGCCAUGAAGAAAUUCUCUGACCUACCUUGUUUGAUAGCAGAUCACAAGACCCUGGUUCCAGAGCGGUCCUGCUUUACACCGAGGGAAAGGAAUGUCAUACAGAAAGGCCAAGAAGAAUCUGAAGAGAUGUCCAAUCACCUUUUCACGUGGCUGCCCAUUCUUCAUUGAACCUAAGCAUUAAAAUAGACAGUUUCCCCUGGGUCUUUGGGUCUUCAUUUCUGAAGACUCCAUGUCAUGUAAAACUUUGAUUAAAUAAAUGUAUCAUGCA